rnacentral:rRNA from 1 species
GACGAACGCUGGCGGCGUGCUUAACACAUGCAAGUCGAACGGAAAGGCCCUGCUUUUGUGGGGUGCUCGAGUGGCGAACGGGUGAGUAACACGUGAGUAACCUGCCCUUGACUUUGGGAUAACUUCAGGAAACUGGGGCUAAUACCGGAUAGGAGCUCCUGCUGCAUGGUGGGGGUUGGAAAGUUUCGGCGGUUGGGGAUGGACUCGCGGCUUAUCAGCUUGUUGGUGGGGUAGUGGCUUACCAAGGCUUUGACGGGUAGCCGGCCUGAGAGGGUGACCGGCCACAUUGGGACUGAGGUACGGCCCAGACUCCAACGGGAGGCAGCAGUGGGGAAUAUUGCACAAUGGGCGGAAGCCUGAUGCAGCAACGCCGCGUGCGGGAUGACGGCCUUCGGGUUGUAAACCGCUUUCGCCUGUGACGAAGCGUGAGUGACGGUAAUGGGUAAAGAAGCACCGGCUAACUACGUG